rnacentral:rRNA from 1 species
CCUACGGGGGGUAGCAGUGAGGAAUAUUGGUCAAUGGGCGAGAGCCUGAACCCGCCAAGUCGCGUGAGGGAGUACUGCCCUAUGGGUUGUAAACCUCUUUUGUCGGGGAGCAAAAGCCGGACGUGUCCGGCUGUGAGAGUACCCGAAGAAAAAGCAUCGGCUAACUCCGUGCCAGCCGCCGCGGUAAUACGGAGGAUGCGAGCGUUAUCCGGAUUUAUUGGGUUAAAAGGGUGCGCAGGAGGAUUUUUAAGUCAGCGGUCAAAUUGUGGGGCUCAAACCCAUCCAGCCGUUGAAACUGGGGAUCUAGAGUGGGCUAGAGGUAUGCGGAAUGCGUGGUGUAGCGGUGAAAUGCAUAGAUAUCACGCAGAACCCCGAUUGCGAAGGCAGCAUACCGGUGCACAACUGACGCUCAGGCACGAAAGCGUGGGUAUCGAACAGGAUUAGAUACCCGAGUAGUC